rnacentral:lncRNA from 1 species
CUGAAAUCCUUGUCAAAAAAUGUAAUGACAGGUGAGGAAUUACAAUUUCAUUCCAACAUAUGUUUAAAAUGUUACAUAUAAAAAUUCUGAGUUCAAGGAACCCAAAAGUUGAAUUCGCAGCUUACAAAAAGAUGCAAAUUUUUGCUAUACUAUUAAAAGCCAAGCUCAUGACACAUAAUCUCUAAGCAGCCAAAGAAGAAAAAAACUAAAAGCUAAGAUAUUGUAUGUACAUUUCAACUACCUUAGGUAAAGCAAUGAAAUAGGCCUAAUGUUCCAAUGAUGCAAAACCUGCAAAAUUGGGAAAUAGAAAAAUCAAUUCUUUUGGUUAUAAAUAUUCAAUUAGAUGCAUUUUAAAUAAGAACCAAACAAAAAAUACACAUAAAAGCAAGUUAUGAAGAUUGAGAGAGAAAUGAAAUAGACCUCAGCAAGAGUAGUAGUACUGCAGUUUGUAGAAGGUGCCUAAUCCUUAGUCUCUUCAAUUAGAUUCAUUCUAAAUAGGAUCCGCUGCAACUAUUUUUUCGAUGUAGGACAAUCGGGUCCUAACGUUUUCCUAGUAGAAAACUCUAAAAUAUGAUUAUAUAUCAUAAUUCAUAAACAAAAUCAGAGGAAACAUUAUGAUUAUUGAGCUAGUAUUGAAUAAUGGGUACAAAACUGAAACUUUUGGAUGCUCAGCCUUGUUUCUAGAUGAAAUUAAGCAUCCCAAAAAACCAAAACAAAUCAAUUUAACAUAAAAGUUAUUACUCACCUCAAUCGGCCGGAGAACUCAUAAUGAAAUUUCUACCCCACAAUUUUUCCGUAACCUUUUCCAUCUUAGUAUUUCUCAAUAGGACAUGGAUUCUAUAACAUUAGUUUAAAAAAAAAACCACUACAUCUGUUAAAAAGACUAGUUCCACUAGAAGUCAAGGUCUAUUAGAAGUCAUUUACACAGAUGCUUGUGCUCCAUUUCCAAUGAGGACAAUUUGUGGCAAUUGUUCCUUUGUGCUCUUCAUAGAUGACUACUCUAGGUAAACUAAUUUGUAUUUAAUCUCUGAAAAAUCUCAAGUGCUCAAUUAUUUUAAAAUUUAUAAAUUAGAAGUGGAAAAACAACCUGGGAAACAAAUUAAAGUAGUAAGAUCAGAUAAGGGAGGUGAAUAUUUUGGAAUGUAUCCAAAAAUGGGACAACAAAAGGGGACCCUUUGCUUUGUUCUUGCAGCAAGAAGGGAACAUAGCACAGUUUACAACACCAGGAACACCAUCUCAAAAUGGUGUUGCUGAAAAAAGAAACCGCACCCUUAAAGACAUGGUCAGAAGCAUGCUUUCACAAUCACAACUUCCAGAAUUCUUGUGGGGUGAAGCAAUUAAAACUGCAAAAUAUAUUCUCAAUAGGAUGCCAAGUAAAGCAAUCACUUCCACACCCUUUGAAAUAUGGAUAGGAAGAAGACUAAAUCUUGCACAUUUACACAGCUGGGGAUGCAUAUGUGAAGCAUGGUUAUAUAAUCCAAUGGAUAGAAAGUUGGAUCUUAGAACUACAAGUUGUUAUUUUGUAGGCCAUCCUGAAAAAUCCAAGGGUUUUAAAUUUUAGUGUCCACACUCUCACUCAAGAUUGGUUAAGACCAACAAUGCAAAAUUUGUGGGGGAUUGUAGUUCAUUUCAUUCUCACCCAAAGAACAGCUAUGCAUUUGAAGAAAUGAAGCGAUCUGGUAACAAUGGCAUAACAAAUUUGUCCUUGUCAACAACCAUUCUCUCUAACAUUUCAUUUACUUAGCAAUCUCAACAAGUGCUCAGAACAUUGAUCAACCAAUUCCAUCACAGAACACUACACUUAUCCCAAUUAUUGAAGCUUCUACAUCACAGCAGCAUACUUCAAACCAAAAUGUUGUAGGCUCAUAUGUACCUUCCAUCACUGAAUUGAGGAAAAUCAUAGAAAACAAGAAAACCUGCAUUAUCAAGUGAUUCUGUGACUUAUCUUAAUGAAGUGGAAUAAGAUUUUGGUGAUGAUGAUGACCACACAACCUUUACUGAAGCUAUGAAUAGUUCACAUGCCUCAUUAUGGUAUGCUGCAAUGGAAGAAGAAUUGAAUUCAAUGGCACAACAUGCAGUUUGGAGUUUGAUUGAAGGAGCCAAUGACAUGAAACCAAUUAGGAAUAAGUGGGUUUUUAAGACCAAAAGAGAUUCCAAGGGAAAUAUUGAAAGGCACAAAGCUCAAUUAGUAGCCAAGAGAUUUACACAGAAUGAAAAUUUGGAUUACACAUAAACAUUUUCACCAGUCUCAACCAAGGAUUCUUUGAGGAUAAUCAUUGCCCUUACAUCUCAUUUUAACCUUGAGCUGCAUCAGAUGGAUGUUAAGGCUGCCUUCUUGAAUUGCAGUCUUAAUGAAACAAUUUACAUGAAACAACCACAAGGAUUCAUUGAAAGGGGGAAUGAAGGUUUUGUAUGCAAGCUUAACACGUCUAUAUAUAGGCUUAAACAAGCUUCUAGCAAUGGUACAAUAAGUUUGAUCAAGUGGUAACUUCAUUUGGCUUCAGUCAAAACAAAAUUGACAAUUGUAUUUAUCUGAAGUCAACAAGAUCAGGGUUUAUUUUCAUGGUAUUGUAUGUUGAUGACAUACUCUUGGAAAGUUACAGUGUUCAACUUUUUAUUGAAACCAAGAGCAUGCUUUCAAAUAGUUUUGACAUAAAGGAUUUAGGGAGGUAGACUUUGUUUUAGGGACUGAAAUCGUGAGAGAUCGAUCCAGAGGCACUAUUGUUCUUUCAAAGAACUACAUU